CAUAGGUUAAUGAGGCGAACCGGGGGAACUGAAACAUCUAAGUACCCCGAGGAAAAGAAAUCAACCGAGAUUCCCCCAGUAGCGGCGAGCGAACGGGGAGCAGCCCAGAGCCUGAAUCAGUGUGUGUGUUAGUGGAAGCGUCUGGAAAGGCGCGCGAUACAGGGUGACAGCCCCGUACACAAAAAUGCACAUACUGUGAGCUCGAUGAGUAGGGCGGGACACGUGGUAUCCUGUCUGAAUAUGGGGGGACCAUCCUCCAAGGCUAAAUACUCCUGACUGACCGAUAGUGAACCAGUACCGUGAGGGAAAGGCGAAAAGAACCCCGGCGAGGGGAGUGAAAAAGAACCUGAAACCGUGUACGUACAAGCAGUGGGAGCCUCUUUAUGGGGUGACUGCGUACCUUUUGUAUAAUGGGUCAGCGACUUAUAUUCUGUAGCAAGGUUAACCGAAUAGGGGAGCCGAAGGGAAACCGAGUCUUAACUGGGCGUUAAGUUGCAGGGUAUAGACCCGAAACCCGGUGAUCUAGCCAUGGGCAGGUUGAAGGUUGGGUAACACUAACUGGAGGACCGAACCGACUAAUGUUGAAAAAUUAGCGGAUGACUUGUGGCUGGGGGUGAAAGGCCAAUCAAACCGGGAGAUAGCUGGUUCUCCCCGAAAGCUAUUUAGGUAGCGCCUCGUGAAUUCAUCUCCGGGGGUAGAGCACUGUUUCGGCAAGGGGGUCAUCCCGACUUACCAACCCGAUGCAAACUGCGAAUACCGGAGAAUGUUAUCACGGGAGACACACGGCGGGUGCUAACGUCCGUCGUGAAGAGGGAAACAACCCAGACCGCCAGCUAAGGUCCCAAAGUCAUGGUUAAGUGGGAAACGAUGUGGGAAGGCCCAGACAGCCAGGAUGUUGGCUUAGAAGCAGCCAUCAUUUAAAGAAAGCGUAAUAGCUCACUGGUCGAGUCGGCCUGCGCGGAAGAUGUAACGGGGCUAAACCAUGCACCGAAGCUGCGGCAGCGACACUAUGUGUUGUUGGGUAGGGGAGCGUUCUGUAAGCCUGUGAAGGUGUGCUGUGAGGUAUGCUGGAGGUAUCAGAAGUGCGAAUGCUGACAUAAGUAACGAUAAAGCGGGUGAAAAGCCCGCUCGCCGGAAGACCAAGGGUUCCUGUCCAACGUUAAUCGGGGCAGGGUGAGUCGACCCCUAAGGCGAGGCCGAAAGGCGUAGUCGAUGGGAAACAGGUUAAUAUUCCUGUACUUGGUGUUACUGCGAAGGGGGGACGGAGAAGGCUAUGUUGGCCGGGCGACGGUUGUCCCGGUUUAAGCGUGUAGGCUGGUUUUCCAGGCAAAUCCGGAAAAUCAAGGCUGAGGCGUGAUGACGAGGCACUACGGUGCUGAAGCAACAAAUGCCCUGCUUCCAGGAAAAGCCUCUAAGCAUCAGGUAACAUCAAAUCGUACCCCAAACCGACACAGGUGGUCAGGUAGAGAAUACCAAGGCGCUUGAGAGAACUCGGGUGAAGGAACUAGGCAAAAUGGUGCCGUAACUUCGGGAGAAGGCACGCUGAUAUGUAGGUGAAGUCCCUUGCGGAUGGAGCUGAAAUCAGUCGAAGAUACCAGCUGGCUGCAACUGUUUAUUAAAAACACAGCACUGUGCAAACACGAAAGUGGACGUAUACGGUGUGACGCCUGCCCGGUGCCGGAAGGUUAAUUGAUGGGGUUAGCGGUAACGCGAAGCUCUUGAUCGAAGCCCCGGUAAACGGCGGCCGUAACUAUAACGGUCCUAAGGUAGCGAAAUUCCUUGUCGGGUAAGUUCCGACCUGCACGAAUGGCGUAAUGAUGGCCAGGCUGUCUCCACCCGAGACUCAGUGAAAUUGAACUCGCUGUGAAGAUGCAGUGUACCCGCGGCAAGACGGAAAGACCCCGUGAACCUUUACUAUAGCUUGACACUGAACAUUGAACCUUGAUGUGUAGGAUAGGUGGGAGGCUUUGAAGUGUGGACGCCAGUCUGCAUGGAGCCGACCUUGAAAUACCACCCUUUAAUGUUUGAUGUUCUAACGUUGGCCCCUGAUCGGGGUUGCGGACAGUGUCUGGUGGGUAGUUUGACUGGGGCGGUCUCCUCCUAAAGAGUAACGGAGGAGCACGAAGGUUGGCUAAUCCUGGUCGGACAUCAGGAGGUUAGUGCAAUGGCAUAAGCCAGCUUGACUGCGAGCGUGACGGCGCGAGCAGGUGCGAAAGCAGGUCAUAGUGAUCCGGUGGUUCUGAAUGGAAGGGCCAUCGCUCAACGGAUAAAAGGUACUCCGGGGAUAACAGGCUGAUACCGCCCAAGAGUUCAUAUCGACGGCGGUGUUUGGCACCUCGAUGUCGGCUCAUCACAUCCUGGGGCUGAAGUAGGUCCCAAGGGUAUGGCUGUUCGCCAUUUAAAGUGGUACGCGAGCUGGGUUUAGAACGUCGUGAGACAGUUCGGUCCCUAUCUGCCGUGGGCGCUGGAGAACUGAGGGGGGCUGCUCCUAGUACGAGAGGACCGGAGUGGACGCAUCACUGGUGUUCGGGUUGUCAUGCCAAUGGCACUGCCCGGUAGCUAAAUGCGGAAGAGAUAAGUGCUGAAAGCAUCUAAGCACGAAACUUGCCCCGAGAUGAGUUCUCCCUGACCCUUUAAGGGUCCUGAAGGAACGUUGAAGACGACGACGUUGAUAGGCCGGGUGUGUAAGCGCAGCGAUGCGUUGAGCUAACCGGUACUAAUGAACCGUGAGGCUUAACCUUACAAC
rnacentral:rRNA from 1 species